CCCUUAGAUGUUCUGGGCCGCACGCGCGCUACACUGAUGCAUUCAACGAGUCUAAAACCUGGUCUGAUAGGGCUGGGUAAUCUUUUGAAAGUGCAUCGUGAUUGGGAUAGAUGAUUGCAAUUCUUCAUCUUCAACGAGGAAUGCCUAGUAAACGCAAGUCAUCAGCUUGCAUUGAUUACGUCCCUGCCCUUUGUACACACCGCCCGUCGCUCCUACCGAUUGAAUGAUCCGAUGAAUACCAUGGAUUGAGAGUUCGAAUAGGUUCGCCUAUUUCAGCUUCUCGAGAAGUGGUGUAAAUCUUAUCAUUUAGAGGAAGGAGAAGUCGUAACA
rnacentral:rRNA from 1 species